UGGGGAAUAUUGCACAAUGGGCGCAAGCCUGAUGCAGCCAUGCCGCGUGUGUGAAGAAGGCCUUCGGGUUGUAAAGCACUUUCAGCGAGGAGGAAGGGUAGUGUGUUAAUAGCACAUUGCAUUGACGUUACUCGCAGAAGAAGCACCGGCUAACUCCGUGCCAGCAGCCGCGGUAAUACGGAGGGUGCAAGCGUUAAUCGGAAUUACUGGGCGUAAAGCGCACGCAGGCGGUUUGUUAAGUCAGAUGUGAAAUCCCCGCGCUUAACGUGGGAACUGCAUUUGAAACUGGCAAGCUAGAGUCUUGUAGAGGGGGGUAGAAUUCCAGGUGUAGCGGUGAAAUGCGUAGAGAUCUGGAGGAAUACCGGUGGCGAAGGCG
rnacentral:rRNA from 1 species